rnacentral:sRNA from 1 species
UUUGCAUUUCUUUUUCUUGGGGAUGGUCUUGGUUCCUGUCUCCUGUACAGUGUCAUGAACCUCCAUCCAUAGUUCAUCAUCACUAUUCAUUAGAGAAAUACAAAUCAAAACUACAAUGUGGUAUUCCUUCACACCAGGCUGAAUAGAUAGCAACUAAAAUUCUACAAGCAAUAAUUCCUGGAGAGAAUGUGGGAAAAAAGGGAACAAUCUUGCACUGUUAGUGGGCAUGUAAAUUGGUACUGCCACUAUGGUGAAGAGUAUUGCUGCUCCUUUAAAAACUAAAACAUAUAAUCACCUUAUGACCUACUCCUGGGCAUUUUUUCUGGAAAAAACCUUAAAACCAAAAGAUUGAUGCACCCUAAUGUUCAUUACAGUAUUAUUUCCUGGAGGCACGACAUGCAACAUUUUUUAAUUAUAGAAAAAACGGAAAAAAGGAAAAAAAGAAUAAAAAACGUAUAAAGCAAGCAGUCUCUAAAGAUGUGGUCAAAUUACUCAGUAUUUGUAAAAGGAAAAUCUUCAGUAUAAGUAAACAAAGCAAGAACCACAUAUCAGAACCAAGUUAUAUGUUAAAAUUCAAAUAACAGAAAGUAUUUUAUAGUGAAAGAACUAACACACCCUGAUAUUUUAUCUCUCCAGCUCAGGAACUCAGAAUUACUUUUUUUUGUUUUCCUCUAAAUUUUAUUUUAUUUUACAAUAUUGUAUUAGUUUUGCCAAAUAUCAAAAUGAAUCC